rnacentral:lncRNA from 1 species
UGAUAAUGUUCGCUGUUUGUCGGCAAUUCUCGGCGGAAUCCGAACAUACUCGGUUACUCUCGGACAAACACGCCACCACUGUUUGCCCUUCGCGCCAAGACGGCGUCACUUUUAUCGUACUAAUUUUAUUUUUUUUCAUGUAUGUACCAGCGUCUGUCUGGUUUAUAUACAAUUAUUAACGGCCGCUUAUUCUUCAUCAUGUAAUUUUGAUUUCAUUACGUUCCAGAGUAUUUGACACAAGGCGUAAUGAAAUAAUUUGUUUUUCACGAAUUAACUUUCUUCUUUUUUUAUUCUCUGUUCUAUUCAUCAGGUAACUCUUCUUUCAACCACUUUUUGCUGUUCUCAUUGCAAACAUUGCAAGUUACUCAACAACUUUUUAUUCUUUUUUAUAGUUUAGACGAGUGAAGUCUUCCUUUAAAAUAAAUAAAUAAAUUAAUGUAAAUCAUUGUAACAAGGAAGAAAAGUCGAAAUUUAUGCCAAGAAUAUAGUACAUUAAUUUAUUAUAUUGAAUGUAACAACAGGCUUCUUUGAUGCAAUAAAAGAUGUCAAAUUACAUGGCAUAGAAUUAUUUUUUUUCCUCAAUGGAAACUUUUCAAUUGUGGAUUCUUUAAACUGAAUUAACUGUUCAAUAAUCACUGAAUUUUUUAUAACAAUAUUUUAUUCAUUUAAAUAAUUUUUUAUUGAAGAAAUAAAUAAUUAUAGAGUAAAGUCAUCACCGUCACAAGAAUUAAGGGUAAUUACAUUUUUAAUAUAUCACAUUUCAUAGUCAAUAAAAAACGGUAUCUAGAGCUCAAUAAAUUGAUUAUUUAAACAUUUAUUAUAACAUUAAAAUUAUAUAUCAUUAAGCUGCUAGAAAUAACGGCAUCGAUAACUGACAAUGUCCUUUUUAACAAAUCAUUGUAUAAAUUUUUUAUUCUUUCAGAUCACUAUCUUCUAAAUAAUACAUAAUUUUGUAACAUAUCAGUUGUUUUUUUAUCUAUUUCCACCUAUUGCAAGAUUGGUGAGGAUCAAUAUUUUGUGCAUUUUCUCAUAUGAAUUGUACAUAAAUAAAUAUAUGCUGAAUGGAUUUCUUCGUCAGUCGAAAAAGUCACGUACUUCAUAUCGGAAAUGCAUAUAAAAUACAUGUCUCCUUCUCCUGACAACAGAACCGUCAUCCAAACUUUUUAGUAUGGACAUUAUCAAUUUUUCAAUUUGACCCGUACAGAUGUUAUUCAAAUUUUUGCGAUUCAAAAAUACGUCUGUACGAAGUACAAAGUACAUUUCGAUAUAUUUACAUGUUUCCUUAUAGUACAAGAUUUUAUAUUUCAAUAAUUCAAUACCCAAAAAAGACAACCAAACAUACUUGAUGUUAAUCCAAAAAUAAUUUUGACCAUAAAAAAACUUUUAAUAAGUAGUAAGUGGAUGAAUCAUUAUUUAAAUCAAAUUUAAUUAAGUAUAAACAUGAUGAAUGGUUAAAAGCUGAAUUCAUUCAUUCAUUAUUCUUUUUUUUUUCUAUUUCCUAAUUUAUUAGCUCUUUUAAUCUCAUCCUUUUUGCAUUAAUCAAAUGUUGCAUGUGUUAUUCAAACACAUUAGCCAACACCAUAAAAUUCUAUCUCACUACUAUUUGAUCACACUUAUAAGGCAGAUACGGUUAAAAUCCUCGGGAGAGUGGAGUCUCGGUAGUUGCUAUCGUCCGGCGAUAAAAGUCGAUGGGGAUAAUAAUGCGUUGAUACCCUGAGCACUGGGUAAUGCGAGAGUAUAGUCUGGCCUGCGUCCGCUUGUCUGGAUGACUGUCAGUGGGUCGUUGAACCCCCCCUUACCUCACAUCAUCCUUCGUCGUGAUUGCGAGGCCGUUGUGCCGAAUAAGCGUUUGUAAUUGCACAUGCUAAUCAUGGAUAGAUUUGGAAAUGCAGUUUGAGUAAAGGAUAUUUCAAUUUUUCAAAAGGUUGUAGGAGCUGGUGACUGCAACAGUUUGGUUAUAUAUUGUGGUCUGAUGUCUGAUGCGAAGGGGUGUCUCGGCGGGGGUUAGUCUAGACGGGAGACCCCCGAUUCACUUUACUCACUCUCUUACUCUCAACGUUCACCCCUACCGCCACUGCAUAAUACGCUAGAGUUGAGAAGUAUGAGUUUGUAUUUGUCGCGGACUGUCGGAGGUAUAUUGUUCAACUCUGCGUUUUUUUAAAUUACAUUACAUUUGAUAUUUGUCAAAUGUAAAAGUGUACU